rnacentral:rRNA from 1 species
CCUACGGGCGGCAGCAGUGAGGAAUAUUGGUCAAUGGGCGGAAGCCUGAACCAGCCAAGUAGCGUGCGGGAUGAAGGCCCUACGGGUCGUAAACCGCUUUUGCACGGGGAUAACACCCUCCACUUGUGGAGGUCUGCAGGUACCGUGCGAAUAAGGGCCGGCUAAUUCCGUUCCAGCAGCCGCGGUAAUACGGAAGGGCCGAGCGUUAUCCGGAUUCCUUUGGCUUAAAGGGAGCGUAGGCGGGCGUUCAAGUCAGCGGUAAAAUGGCGCGGCCAAACCGCGCCCCGCAGUUGAAACUGGACGCCUUGAGUUCACAACAGGCAGGCGGAAUUCGGGGUGUAGCGGUGAAAUGCAUAGAUAUCACGAGGAACCCCGAUUGCGAAGGCAGCCUGCCGGGGUGCGACUGACGCUGAGGCUCGAAGGUGCGGGUAUCAAACAGGAUUAGAUACCCUUGUAGUC